rnacentral:rRNA from 1 species
UACGGGGGGGGUAAGCGUUGUUCGGAAUUACUGGGCGUAAAGGGCUCGUAGGCGGCCAACUAAGUCAGACGUGAAAUCCCUCAGCUUAACUGGGGAACUGCGUCUGAUACUGGCGAGCUUGAGUGCAGGAGAGGAACGCGGAAUUCCAGGUGUAGCGGUGAAAUGCGUAGAUAUCUGGAGGAACACCGGUGGCGAAGGCGGCGUUCUGGACUGCUACUGACACUGAGGAACGAAAGCCAGGGGAGCAAACGGG